AGCGUUGUUCGGAAUUACUGGGCGUAAAGCGCACGUAGGCGGCUUUGUAAGUUAGAGGUGAAAGCCCGGGGCUCAACCCCGGAAUAGCCUUUAAGACUGCAUCGCUUGAAUCCAGGAGAGGUGAGUGGAAUUCCGAGUGUAG
rnacentral:rRNA from 1 species